rnacentral:rRNA from 1 species
GACGAACGCUGGCGGCGGGCUUAACACAUGCAAGUCGAACGGAAAGGCCCCUUUGGGUGUACUCGAGUGGCGAAGGGGUGAGUAACACGUGGGUAACCUUCCCUUUACUCCGGGUUAACUUCAGGAAACUGGGGCUAAUACCGGAUAGGAAUCCUUGCUGCAUGGGGGGGGUUGGAAAGCUUCGGGUGUCUUGGAUGGACUGGCGGCUUAUCAGCUGGUUGGUGGGAUAGUGGCGUACCAAGGCUCCGACGGGUAGCUGGACUGAGGGGGUGAGCGGCGGCCCUGGGUCUGAGGGACGGCACAGACGGGUAAGAGAGGAAGCAGGGGGGAAUAUUGCACCAUGGGUGGCAGGUGGAUGAAGAAACCCCUCGUGUGGGAUGGCGCUCUUGGGGUGGUAAACCGGUUUCAGCAGGGGCGAAGGUUGUGGUGACGGUACCUGCAGAAGAAGCACCGGCUAACUACGUG